AGUCCGCGGCGUCGCGGCCAUGGCUGAUCCACUGAAGGUCCUGGUGACGGGAGCUGCUGGACAGAUCGCCUACUCCCUGCUGUACAGCGUAGCCAAUGGAGAGGUAUACGGGAAAGAGCAGCACGUGGCCCUGGCGCUGAUGGACAGCCCCUCCAUGUUGGGAGUGUUGGCUGGGGUGGCGAUGGAGCUACAGGACUGCGCCUUCGAACUCCUUCAAGGGGUGGUGGUGACGGACCAGGAGGAGGUGGGCUUCAGGGAGGCAGACGUUGCUGUGUUGCUGGAUUCACUGCCAAUGCAGGAGGGGAUGGAGCAGAACGAUCUCUUGAAGGCUAACGCGCGAAAGUUCAGAUUGCACGGUCACGCCUUGGAUGUUUACGCCAAGAAGACAGUCAAGGUCCUGGUGGUGGGCGACUUGGCCAACACUAACUGCUUGGUCUCCAUGAUCUCCGCGCCUUCCAUCCCUCGGGAAAACUUCACCUGCCUGAUGAGGCUGGAUCAGAACCGAGCCCAGGCGCAGCUUGUUCUCAGACUGGGAGCUGAACCUGGAGCCGUGAGCAACGUCACCAUCUGGGGUGGGGGAUCCGCCGGGCAGCACCCCGACACGCAGCACGCCACCGUCAGCCGUGGCUCACGCCGAGUCCCGCUCCCUCGGACCCUGGGAAAUGGCGGGUGGCUGGGGGGAGACUUCAUCAAGGCUGUCCAGCAGCGGGAAGCAGCCGUGGUCCGUGCUCGCGGGCUCCCCAGCGCCAUUUCUGCUGCCGAAGCCAUCUGUGGUCACCUGAGAGUCUGGUGGUGUGGGACAAAGGAGGGAGAGUGGGUGUCCAUGGGAGUCAUCUCCAAUCAGAAUGGCUACGGAAUUCCCGAGGGGCUGAUCUACUCCUUCCCCGUCGCCGUGCAGGACGGACACUGGAAGAUAAUCCCGGGCCUCAGUCUCUCCCCGUUGCUCCGUCAGAAGAUGGCACUGUCUGCUCGGGAGCUGCUCAUUGAGCGGGACACAGCCCUGGGAGUUCUGGCAAAGAGCAAUCUGUGAGGGUUCCCUGACGGGAUAAGUUGGAGAGGAACAGGAGGUCUAAGCUGGAGAGAACAGCCCCAGGGAACUUGCCAGUGAUGAGGUGGUCUCCCCAGAUUGAAUCCCCGCCAACCAACAUCAACACACGGGCUGUUGGACUCGGCCGGAAGGCGGGCAAAGGCUUUCAUUCACCGUGCAAGGACCAUGUCUGGUUAAAUAUACCGGUGACACAGGAGAGAUCCUGCUCCACUUCAGUACUGAGCCGUCAAGGAGAUGAUGGGAUUACUUUUCCGAAGCCAGGUUUGGCCGCGUGACUUGACUCGGACCCAAGAGGGAUACUGGUGCUGAGAGUGUGGAGCCAGGACACAGGGAUCGGGGGCUGGCCAGUUAGAACAGAUGUCCAGAGCGUUGUGAAUCCAUACAAUGUUCGACCACAGGGAGCUGUGGAUUCUCAGUCGCUGAGUUUACCAAGGACUUGAGACGGAGGGAUUUCGGGACGCUGGCCAUCGGGGCGAGAAAAAUCGAGGAAUUGCCCACUGUAAAUCGGGACCCAGUUGUGUGGGUGAGGGGUAGAACCUGGGGGGAGUUAGUGGGGAAAAUAUAACGGGAUCGGCGUAAAUGAGUGGUCGGUGCGGACUCGGUGGGCCGAAGGGCCUGUUUCUGUGGUGUGAUUCGGCUUGUCAAUGCCCCGGUGAUACCUGUCAGUCAGUCUGCCAGAGACAGCGGUAGACCCCUCGAGCCUGCUCCGCUAUUCACGAAGAUCGCGGCAGGCUCCCUUCCUCGAUCCUGUUGUCCCGGUCUCAACUCCCAAGUGAACUCAGAAUCAGAAUUAGAAUCAGGUUUAUUGUCACUGACGUAUAUUGUGAAAUGUGUUGUUUGCAGCGGCAGUACAGUGCAAGACAUAAAAAUUACUAUAAGUUGCAAACAUAAAUAAAUAGUGCAAGAGUAAUAACGAGGUAGUGUUCAUGGGUUCACGGACCGUUCAGAAAUCUGAUGGCGGAGGGGAAGAAGCUGUUCCUGAAUCAUUGAGUGUGGGACUUCAGGCUCCUGUACCUCCUCCCCGAUGGUAGUAACAAGAAGAGGGCAUGUCCCGGGUGGUGAGGGUCCUCAGUGACGGAUGCCGCCUUCUUGAGGCGCCGCCUGUUGAACACGUCCUCGAUGGCGGGGAAGGGUUUGUUGGCCUGCGAUGGAGCCGGCUGAGUCGACAACCCUCUGCGGCCACGUCCGAGCCUGCGCGCGGGAGCCUGCGUACCAGGCGGCGAUGCAGCCAGUCAGAAUGCUCUCCAUCGUACAUCUGUAGAAGUCGGCAACCGAGAGCCCACAGCGCUCUGCGGUCGAACAGUGCACGGAUUCACAACACUCUUGAUUGAAGAGUGUUCUCUUCAUCAAUCCCACAGACACUUCAGUCGAAUAUUACACCAACGUCCUUGGGACGCGGGAAGGAAACUGGGGCACCAGGAGGGGUUGGAGGGUGGGGAUGGACCCAUACAGUCAGAGUGGAGAAUGUGCAAACUGCACACACACAGGUCGGGAUUGAACCCCGGUCUCUGGAGCAGUCUCUACACUUGGAUAAAGCUACAACCA